rnacentral:sRNA from 1 species
GUUUCUGCCUUGAGUUCCUGUCUUGACUCCCUCAAAUGAUAGACUCUCACAUGGAGAGAUUCAUGAGAGAUUCCCUCAAGUAAUCUAUAUCCUGGAGUCUCCAUCUCAAGCCUCCAGGAGCUGUUACACAGCAAUCUCUGUCCUACCCGUUAAUGAUAGUGUGAACUGAAUGUGAAAUGAACUCAUCUUAACAGCUGGUCUGCCUCAGAUCCAAGGCUUUGAGACCAUCAACCGCUUGGCGAUGCUGACCUAAGUACAAACAGUUCUCUGGCACCACGUGGUUAUAUACAAAUGACAUCCUGGGUGGAUCCUCAGAAGAAUGCUUGUACCAUCCACCGCAGUUCAGCCUCCUUUGAUUUCGCACUCAGCGCUAUGAGUUUUCCUCUUAGCACAGCUUUCAUUGUGAUCGGACAUGUUUCUAAGUCACAUCCUACUCACAGAAGAACAUCACUUGUAUUCCCAGAGCAAAGGUCUGCCUAUGCUUUAAUUGUCGUAUGGGUCUUCGAUGUUCUGUUCCAUCUCGUCUACCAUAAAUUUGUCCUCCGUAUCCUGAAGGAUAUAAGAAUUACUGAUACAUGCUUUGUUUGGCUCCAAUGCAGAGGAUGAGAAUGGCAACUCCUGUCAUGUUUUGGAUCUUUAAUGUCCCUAUAGACCCUUAUGGGAAAGCUUUAUUCUCCAGGCUGUGACACUCAUAGCAGAUGAUAGACCCUUUAAGAGGUAAAACCUGGUUUAAAUCGACCAAAGGGAUAUACUCCUGGAAGAGAUAGUAGGAAUGGAGCCUUGAUCAAUCAUACACACUCUCUCUCCUCUCUCUGUCCCUCCAUUUUUCCUUACUAUUUUUAGAAAGAUGAGCAGGUUUUCCACCAGCUAUUCACCCACAUGAGGACUCUGCUGAAGAGGAGGAACCCACUGAUCACAGAAUGAAGUUUUUAGCAUUGUGACCCAAAAUAAAUCUUACCUCCUUAAGUAGAUUGUUUCAACGAUUUUGUUUCAGUAACAGAAAGCUGACUAAUGUAACUUUCAGCUGCAUCAUGUUUUGAAUUACUGAAAAGGAAACUUUAAGUUUCUUCAGGCAUUCAAUAUCUUCAUCUAUAAAAUAAAGAUAAUAAUAACCUAGAAUGGUGGGUGGUGUAAAUAAAUUCUGUGCAAUGAAAUUAUUGGAACAGAGCAUGACAUGUACUAAGUGAUAAUAAAUAUUAAGAGAUCUGAA